rnacentral:rRNA from 1 species
UAUCCUGGCUCAGGAUGAAACGCUAGCGGCAGGCUUAAUACAUGCAAGUCGAGGGGCAGCGCAGUGUAGCAAUACAUGGGCGGCGACCGGCAAACGGGUGCGGAACACGUACAGAACCUUCCUUCAAGCGGGGCAUAGCCCAGAGAAAUUUGGAUUAAUACCCCAUAGUAAGCUGAGGAGGCAUCUCUUUGGUUUUAAAGAUUUAUCACUUGAAGAUGGCUGUGCGGCUGAUUAGGUAGUUGGCGGGUAACGGCCCACCAAGCCUACGAUCAGUAACUGGUGUGAGAGCACGACCAGUCACACGGGCACUGAGACACGGGCCCGACUCCUACGGGAGGCAGCAGUAAGGAAUAUUGGUCAAUGGACGCAAGUCUGAACCAGCCAUGCCGCGUGGAGGAUGAAGGUCCUCUGGAUUGUAAACUUCUUUUAUAUGGGACGAAAAGGGGCUUUUCAGCUCAACUGACGGUACCAUAUGAAUAAGCACCGGCUAACUCCGUG